GUCGUGGUGGCCGAGUGGUUGAGCCAUUUGACUCGAAACCAAAUAGGCUCUGCUCGCACAGGUUCGAAAACUGUCCACGACG
rnacentral:tRNA from 1 species